rnacentral:rRNA from 1 species
GGGUUGUGAGGUUAAGCGACUAAGCGUACACGGUGGAUGCCCUGGCAGUCAGAGGCGAUGAAGGACGUGCUAAUCUGCGAAAAGCGUCGGUAAGGUGAUAUGAACCGUUACAGCCGGCGAUGUCCGAAUGGGGAAACCCAGUGCAAUUCGUUGCACUAUCGUUAACUGAAUACAUAGGUUAACGAGGCGAACCGGGGGAACUGAAACAUCUAAGUACCCCGAGGAAAAGAAAUCAACCGAGAUUCCCCCAGUAGCGGCGAGCGAACGGGGAGCAGCCCAGAGUCUGAAUCAGCUUGUGUGUUAGUGGAACGGUCUGGAAAGUCCGACGGUACAGGGUGAUAGUCCCGUACACCAAAAUGCACAGGCUGUGAACUCGAAGAGUAGGGCGGGACACGUGGUAUCCUGUCUGAAUAUGGGGGGACCAUCCUCCAAGGCUAAAUACUCCUGACUGACCGAUAGUGAACCAGUACCGUGAGGGAAAGGCGAAAAGAACCCCGGCGAGGGGAGUGAAAAAGAACCUGAAACCGUGUACGUACAAGCAGUGGGAGCACCUUCGGGUGUGACUGCGUACCUUUUGUAUAAUGGGUCAGCGACUUAUAUUCUGUAGCAAGGUUAACCGUAUAGGGGAGCCGCAGGGAAACCGAGUCUUAACUGGGCGUUAAGUUGCAGGGUAUAGACCCGAAACCCGGUGAUCUAGCCAUGGGCAGGUUGAAGGUUGGGUAACACUAACUGGAGGACCGAACCGACUAAUGUUGAAAAAUUAGCGGAUGACUUGUGGCUGGGGGUGAAAGGCCAAUCAAACCGGGAGAUAGCUGGUUCUCCCCGAAAGCUAUUUAGGUAGCGCCUCGUGAACUCAUCUUCGGGGGUAGAGCACUGUUUCGGCUAGGGGGUCAUCCCGACUUACCAACCCGAUGCAAACUACGAAUACCGAAGAAUGUUAUCACGGGAGACACACGGCGGGUGCUAACGUCCGUCGUGAAGAGGGAAACAACCCAGACCGCCAGCUAAGGUCCCAAAGUCAUGGUUAAGUGGGAAACGAUGUGGGAAGGCACAGACAGCCAGGAUGUUGGCUUAGAAGCAGCCAUCAUUUAAAGAAAGCGUAAUAGCUCACUGGUCGAGUCGGCCUGCGCGGAAGAUGUAACGGGGCUAAACCAUGCACCGAAGCUGCGGCAGCGACACUAUGUGUUGUUGGGUAGGGGAGCGUUCUGUAAGCCUGCGAAGGUGUGCUGUGAGGCAUGCUGGAGGUAUCAGAAGUGCGAAUGCUGACAUAAGUAACGAUAAAGCGGGUGAAAAGCCCGCUCGCCGGAAGACCAAGGGUUCCUGUCCAACGUUAAUCGGGGCAGGGUGAGUCGACCCCUAAGGCGAGGCCGAAAGGCGUAGUCGAUGGGAAACAGGUUAAUAUUCCUGUACUUGGUGUUACUGCGAAGGGGGGACGGAGAAGGCUAUGUUAGCCGGGCGACGGUUGUCCCGGUUUAAGCAUGUAGGCUGGUUGUCCAGGCAAAUCCGGAUAAUCAAGGCUGAGGUGUGAUGACGAGGCACUACGGUGCUGAAGUAACAAAUGCCCUGCUUCCAGGAAAAGCCUCUAAGCAUCAGGUAACAUUAAAUCGUACCCCAAACCGACACAGGUGGUCAGGUAGAGAAUACCAAGGCGCUUGAGAGAACUCGGGUGAAGGAACUAGGCAAAAUGGUGCCGUAACUUCGGGAGAAGGCACGCUGGUGUGUAGGUGAAGUCCCUGCGGAUGGAGCUGAGACCAGUCGAAGAUACCAGCUGGCUGCAACUGUUUAUUAAAAACACAGCACUGUGCAAACACGAAAGUGGACGUAUACGGUGUGACGCCUGCCCGGUGCCGGAAGGUUAAUUGAUGGGGUUAUCCGUAAGGAGAAGCUCUUGAUCGAAGCCCCGGUAAACGGCGGCCGUAACUAUAACGGUCCUAAGGUAGCGAAAUUCCUUGUCGGGUAAGUUCCGACCUGCACGAAUGGCGUAAUGAUGGCCAGGCUGUCUCCACCCGAGACUCAGUGAAAUUGAACUCGCUGUGAAGAUGCAGUGUACCCGCGGCAAGACGGAAAGACCCCGUGAACCUUUACUAUAGCUUGACACUGAACAUUGAGCCUUGAUGUGUAGGAUAGGUGGGAGGCUUUGAAGCGUGGACGCCAGUCUGCGUGGAGCCAACCUUGAAAUACCACCCUUUAAUGUUUGAUGUUCUAACGUUGGCCCCUUAUCGGGGUUGCGGACAGUGUCUGGUGGGUAGUUUGACUGGGGCGGUCUCCUCCCAAAGCGUAACGGAGGAGCACGAAGGUUAGCUAAUCCUGGUCGGACAUCAGGAGGUUAGUGCAAUGGCAUAAGCUAGCUUGACUGCGAGCGUGACGGCGCGAGCAGGUGCGAAAGCAGGUCAUAGUGAUCCGGUGGUUCUGAAUGGAAGGGCCAUCGCUCAACGGAUAAAAGGUACUCCGGGGAUAACAGGCUGAUACCGCCCAAGAGUUCAUAUCGACGGCGGUGUUUGGCACCUCGAUGUCGGCUCAUCACAUCCUGGGGCUGAAGUAGGUCCCAAGGGUAUGGCUGUUCGCCAUUUAAAGUGGUACGCGAGCUGGGUUUAGAACGUCGUGAGACAGUUCGGUCCCUAUCUGCCGUGGGCGCUGGAGAAUUGAGGGGGGCUGCUCCUAGUACGAGAGGACCGGAGUGGACGCAUCACUGGUGUUCGGGUUGUCAUGCCAAUGGCACUGCCCGGUAGCUAAAUGCGGAAGAGAUAAGUGCUGAAAGCAUCUAAGCACGAAACUUGCCCCGAGAUGAGUUCUCCCUGAGACUUUAAGUCUCCUGAAGGAACGUUGAAGACGACGACGUUGAUAGGCCGGGUGUGUAAGCGCAGCGAUGCGUUGAGCUAACCGGUACUAAUGAACCGUGAGGCUUAACCUUACAACGCCGAAG